rnacentral:lncRNA from 1 species
GGGGGCCUCGCGGACGGGGGCGCGGGGCUGCGGGGAGGAGGCGGCGGUUGGCGGGAAGGGCCGCGCGGGCCCGGGGGCGGCGCCUCAGAUGCGCUCUUUCCAGAAAGGCAGCACACGCAUGUCUCUGCCGUGGCCCCAGAUCCUCCCCGCGCCGCCGUUUUGAGCGUUCACACUCAUUACCCAGGUCCGUCUGGGAGACCCGCCGGGCUCCCGCCCUCCCGGCCCGCAGCCUCCUGGCCAAAAUCCUCCCGGGACACCCCACCUGGACUGCUGCGAACGGGCCUCCACCCGCCUCCCCGGACCCGCAGCGCCCCCCGCUCCCUCAGGGUUCUGGGGUGAAGGGGUCUGAAUAGCACCAGGGGAGGCGGCAGGGCGGGCCUGUCCUACCUGCGCCCGAGCACUGCUGAGACGACAUCCCUUCCAGCGCCGCCACGUAGUCCAGCCCCAGCCAGCCGCGGUCCUGGAAGCACCGCAGGCAGACGACCUGCUCCUCACUGGGCUCAGGCAGGGUCACCCGCCCAGUGCCGCUAGCUGCAAAUUGCUUUACAUACAGUGACCCAAAGAGCAAGUCAUUUCAGGGCCCCACCACUCUGAUUGGAAGUCAUAAGCUUGACAACUGAUUGGCCUCUGUCACCCAAGCGGGUGUGGGGACACUAGGCCCGCAGGUGCCACUGGAAGAGGCGUUCAGAAGCACUGCGGUGCUCCAGCUCCUGGAUGCAGGUCUGAGGCCUGAGAUGUCCAGGAAGAAAGACCCAGAAAUGAGGGAUGGUGUGGGUGGGAUUCCUGAGCGUUCUGCUAGGCCUGCUGAGCACUUCUUGGCCUUUUCCAUAAGGCUUUCUCACUCUGUCUUACAGAUAUCUCCCCACAAACCUAAACAAUUUCGAGAGGGACUUGUGUUCUGCAACCAGUCACAGAAUAUCAGGUGAGCUGGGCGUGUCUUCACUGACCCACCCGCCCAGGGAUGCUGCACUCCUCUCCACCCUGCUCAGAAUCACUAGAAUGACCGUUCUGUGGCUACAGCCCUAAAAGAGCUACUAAAAAGACCAGAAGUAGUAUGAGAACUUAUGAAUACGAAUAUAAAUAAAGGACAUCUGGAGAACAUGC